CACUCUGGUGAUGGUUUCCUUUGUGUGCAGAAGCUUUGUAGUUUGAUGUAGACCAAGUUGUCUGUUUUUGCUUUUGUUGCCUUGGCUUUUGGUGUCAAGUGCAAAAAUCAUUGCCAAAACUGAUGUCGUAAAGGCGAGGAUGCCCACUCUCUCCACUUCUCUUCAGUGCUGGAAUCCUCAGCCAGAGCAAUCAGGCAAGAAACAGAAAUAAAAGGCAUCCAAAUUGGAAAGGAAGAAGGAAGGUUAUCUGUGUUUGCAGAUGACGUGGUCUUUUAAGUAGAAAACCCUAAAGACUCCACAAAAAAACUGUUAGAUCUAAUAAACAAAUUCAGUAAAAGAGCAGGAUACAAAAUCAAUGUAUAAAAAUCUGUUGCCUUUCUGCACAUCCACAGUGAACUAUCCAAAAAGGAGCUUAAGAAAAUAAUGCCAUUUACAAUAGCAUCAAAAAGAAUAAAAUACUUAGGAAUGAAAUUAACCAAGGGAAUGAAAGCCUUGUAUGCUGAAAAUGAUAAGACAUUGCUCAAAGAAAUUGAUAAAGACACAAAUACAUGGAAAGACAUCCUGCGCUCAUGGAUUGUAAGAGUGACUAUUGUUAAAAUGUCCAUGAUACCCAAAGCAGUCUACAGAUUCAAUGCCAUCCCUACCAAAAUCAGAAUGGUAGGGGCUGGCUGGGUGGCACAGCAGUUAAGUUCGCAUGUUCCACUUCGACGACCCAGGGUUCGCCCAUUCCAAUCCCUGGUGCGGCACCACUUGGCAAGCCAUGCUGUGGUGGGCGUCCCACAAAUAAAGUAGAGGGAGAUGGGCAGUGAUGUUAGCUCAGGGCCAGUCUUCCCUGGCAAAAAGACGAGGAUUGGCAGCAGAUUUAGCUCAGGGCUAAUAUUCCUCAAAAAAAAAAAAAUCACAGUGGAAGUUUACAGAAGUAGAUAAAACAAUCCUUAAAUUCACGUGGAGUCACCAAGGACCCGGAACAGCCAAAGCAAUCUUGAAGGAAGAACACAGCUGGAGGCAUCAGCUGCCUGGUUCAAACUAUCCUAAAGCUACAGUAAUGAAAACAGUGUGGCGCUGGCAUAGAGACAGACACACAGGCCAACGGAACAGAAUCGAGAGCCCAGAAGGACACCAUACGUAUGCGGUCAACUGAUCUUCAACAUGGGAGCCGAGAUUAGUCAACAGGGAAAGGCCGGUCUCUUAACAAUGGUGCUGGAAAACUGGACAUGUGCAUGCAGGAGAAUGAAAACGGACUCUUCUCUCACACCAUCCACCCCACAAACCAGCACAGACUCACCAAGGACUUAAACGUGACACAGGAACCUGUGAGAUCCCUGGAAGAAGACUCAGGGAUGGCCUCACCUUUCUUAUCCAUGCCCGAGUUCCUCCUCUCUUCCAUCUUCUUUCACAUGGAGUAGCAUUGUCUCAUGUUUCCCAGCGUCCUGGUCUGAAAGUGGGAUGUCCACUCGCAUUAGUGUGUGGUCGCCCUGAAGUGCACCUGCAUCCUCGAUAUGAUGCUGAGGUUGGACGUCAGGAUUGUAACACAGCUGCUUACACGUGGCUUUUGCCCUAUUUUGGACAAUCUCCUCAGCGGCGUCCUGGACAUCAGAUUGCUGGGUCAAAGUUGACGUUUUAUGGUUUUUGAGAUGUUUCUGUUGAGCAUUUUUCAAAUGACACCUUGCACCUCCCACGAGCGUGGCUGUAACACAGGCCCCUCCUCUUCUCUGCUCAGUGCCACCCCUUGGGAGGUCCCAGCCCUUCUCUUUGAGGUCAUUUGUCCCCUCAGGCUGUCCUGCUGUGUAGAACUGGGGGAUGCCUCCUGUGGAACUUGAGGACCAGAGGUCAGCCCAGGAAGGCAGCUUCUCAGCAGAACCUAGGCCGUGGCUGGAGCCUGGAGGCUACAGGGCCGGGGCGCCUCCUGCCUGAGGCUGGGGAAGCCCCCUGCCCUACAGCCUCCACCUUCAUUUCUGGACUGAAGGUCAGAUGCCCCACCCUGGGGCCCAGGAGGAGCCCCUCCAACAGCCGACGAGGGUCCCAGGGAGAGGCCGGUCCAGUGACUGUUCCCUAUUGUCAGGCAGAAGCAAAGUCACAAGAUGACACGUCAUGAGCCAUGAGGGGCUUCUGCUGUGUAUCCAGGAGCCGUCCAGGGCGUGAACUAGAAGAGACGCCACCACCCAUGUGGCUGCACGACUGCAGAGGGAGAUGGCAGAUCUGGAGGGCCCCACCUGACACCCUGAGGGGCAGAGGCUCAAGACCAAGUGGAAUCGCUUGAGUCCAGCACCGUCGGCAUCCAGUACCAGGAGGGAGUGAGAGGACAGCUGUCCCUUCGCUGGACAGGAGGCCCCCGAGAAGAUGUGCUUCUCCUUAUGUCAAAGUACAGAUGAGCCCAGGAAAACAUGAUUCGGGGAUUUGGGGACCUAGAUGAGCUGAUUUUAAGUUCACAUGGAGAAAUCACUGAACAAGAAAGUCCAGGAAAACUUGAGGAGCUGUCACCAGAGGGACGAGCCUGACAGCAAUGAAAACACAGAGAUGACUCAGUGUGAUGCUGCCGUGACCCAGAACAGCCUUUCCAAGGGAACACGCGUCCCGGGAGCCACUUACAACAAGUGACACAUGCACCCCACAGAGUCACGUGUCUCUGUGGGAAAUGUGUAAUCGGAGUCAGAGAAGAGCACGGAACAGGGAAAUGUCUGCCCUUCCGAUUUCCUGAGUGGAGGGUGCUUCCGCAAACCCGCUCUUUAAAAGACCAAACAGCAAAGGGACAUGAGGUGGAAGCUGACACCUGAGGGAGGACAGCGGCUCCUGAUGACGAGGCAUCCUAUCACCUCGCUGCUGAGAGACAUGCGGAUGAAGCUGGGAAGCCCUUCAGGCUGCACCUGUCACCCCAUGGCCUGGUGGAAUGGCAGCACCCCGAAAUUCCGCCCACUGCCCGGCACCCUGACUGCUCUUGUCCAUAGCAGUUGGAGGCACUUGUCUCCUUUGUGAGCGGCUCUGCCGUCUCACACUGCCCACCUCGAUGUGAGUGCAGGAGGCACAACUCACACCGCAACUGGUCAGUCAGCAGUUGGAGGCACUCGUGCCCUCUGUGAGCGGUUCUGCCGUCUCGCACUGCCCACCUCGACGCGAGUGUCGAGUUCGUGGAGGAGGCGAAGCUCGCGCCCGCGACUGGUCAGUCAGCAGUUGGAGGCACUCGUGCCCUCUGUGAGCGGCUCUGCCGUCUCGCACUGCCCACCUCGACGCGAGUGUCGAGUUCGUGGAGGAGGCGCAGCUCGCGCCCGCGACUGGUCAGUCAGGUGAGCGUGACUUUGGGGACAGUGGCCGCCAGGGGUGGUGCCACGGGCCUCCCUUGGCUGUAGGCGAGGUGACACCGAGCCCCGAGCCCCGAUGGAGAGCCGGGCUCAGACAGCCGUCCCCGGUCCAUGGGGUGAGGGUGCUGCUCGCAUUGCCCCUGCCCGUGGGAGGAGG